rnacentral:rRNA from 1 species
GACGAACGCUGGCGGCGUGCUUAACACAUGCAAGUCGAACGAAGUGGCGAACGGGUGAGUAACGCGUAAUCAACCUGCCCUUCAGAGGGGGACAACAGUUGGAAACGACUGCUAAUACCGCAUACUGAAGGAGGGGAUUGCGUCUGAUUAGCUAGUUGGAGGGUUAACGGCCCACCAAGGCGAUGAUCAGUAGCCGGUCUGAGAGGAGGAACGGCAAAAUUGGGACGGAGACAAGGCGCAGACGCAGAGGGGAGGCAGGAGGGGGGAAGCUUCCGGAAUGGACGAAAGGCUGAAGGAGAAAUGCCGCGAGAGUGAAGAAGGUUUGCGGAUCGUAAAACUAUGUUGUUAGAGAAGCGGUAUCGAACCAGAAAGCCACGGCUAACUACGUGCCAGCAGCCGCGGUAAUUC